GGGCGGAUAGCUCAGCUGGGAGAGCGCCGGCCUUACAAGCCGGAAGUCGUAGGUUCGAUCCCUGCUCCGCCUA
rnacentral:tRNA from 1 species